rnacentral:rRNA from 1 species
AGAUUGAACGCUGGCGGCAUGCUUUACACAUGCAAGUCGAACGGCAGCACGGGGGCAACCCUGGUGGCGAGUGGCGAACGGGUGAGUAAUAUAUCGGAACGUACCCGGAAAUGGGGGAUAACGUAGAGAAAUUUACGCUAAUACCGCAUACGAUCUAAGGAUGAAAGCGGGGACCGUAAGGCCUCGCG